rnacentral:rRNA from 1 species
UUCCAGCUCCAAUAGCGUAUAUUUAAGUUGUUGCGGUUAAAAAGCUCGUAGUUGGAUUUCGGGCGUGGAGGUUCGGUCCGCCGUUUCGGUGUGCACUGUCUUUCUGCGUCUUUCUGUCGGGGACGCGCUUCUGGCCUUAAUUGGCUGGGACGUGGAUUCGACGAGGUUACUUUGAAAAAAUUAGAGUGUUCAAAGCAAGCUAAAACUCUGAAUACAUUAGCAUGGAAUAACGCGAGAGGACUCGGUCCUUAUUUUGUUGGUCUUCAAGGAUGGAGUAAUGAUUAAGAGGGACAGUUGGGGGCAUUCGUAUUUCAUUGCUAGAGGUGAAAUUCUUGGAUUUAUGAAAGACGAACUUCUGCGAAAGCAUUCGCCAAGGAUGUUUUCAUUA